GAUGAACGCUGGCGGCGUGCCUAAUACAUGCAAGUCGAGCGAACAGAUGAGGAGCUUGCUCCUCUGACGUUAGCGGCGGACGGGUGAGUAACACGUGGAUAACCUACCUAUAAGACUGGGAUAACUUCGGGAAACCGGAGCUAAUACCGGAUAAUAUAUUGAACCGCAUGGUUCAAUAGUGAAAGACGGUUUUGCUGUCACUUAUAGAUGGAUCCGCGCCGCAUUAGCUAGUUGGUAAGGUAACGGCUUACCAAGGCAACGAUGCGUAGCCGACCUGAGGGGGUGAUCGGCCACACGGGAUCUGAGACACGGUCCAGACUCCGACGGGGGGCAGCAGUAGGGAAUCUUCCGCAAGGGGCGAAAGCCUAACGUAGCAACGCCGCGUGAGGGAUGAAGGUCUUCUGAUCGUAAAACUCUGUUAUUAGGGAAGAACAAAUGUGUAAGUAACUGUGCACGUCUUGACGGUACCUAAUCAGAAAGCCACGGCUAACUACGUG
rnacentral:rRNA from 1 species